UACAACCAUAGCACGUUGAAACACCGGUUCUCGUAUGAUCACCGAAGUUGAGCAACGUCAAGCCCGGUCAAUACCUAGAUAGGUGGCCGCUUAGGAAUUCCGGGUGCUGUAAG